rnacentral:lncRNA from 1 species
GAGAAAUACCGGGAGCCCAGAAGAAACAGAAAAAAAAAAAAUCCAAAACAAAAACAAAAAACCAAACCAAACAAAAACCCUGAGCUUCUCAGUAUUCGCCAGAGUGCUGAAAAAUACUGAUAAUGAUGCGGAAUGCCUGCGUGAAAACAAAAACAAACCAAAAAUGCAAACCGAGACAAACCCAAAAAAGCAAACUUUGGUUUGUCUAACUCCUGAGACAUCGGGCUUCGUUAAGCAGCUUGGAAGGCAACACAAAUCUAUGACCCUUCUUUCUUUUAUUUAUUUAUUUUUGUUAUUAUUUCAAAAAACAAUGGCCUAAGAGCAGUACAUUGCACUUGGUGAACCCGCACUUUCAUACCAGGGGAACACUUAAAGUGCAUAUGAGAAGAGAAGAGAAUGACCACAGGAGAAAAUCAUCUCAGAACCAAUCACUGCCAGGGACCCUGUAGCUGCCUACUUGCCUGGAACCCAGGGCAACAACAGGAUAACUGGGAGGAGUCCCAAUAAGGCUCCAUUAUUGAUGGUGUCACAGAAGCCCCUGAUCUGAAUAUUUGCCAAUGAAGAUAUGUGGACAGAAAUAUACUGUGGGACACACUGUGACAUGCUACUGCUUUCCACGGCCUCUCCAUUGUUCCUCUGAACAGGCACUUUCUUAAGCUGUUCGUUCAGAUGCGUACAAA